rnacentral:rRNA from 1 species
CAGCAGCCACGGUAAUACGUAGGUGGCAAGCGUUGUCCGAAUUAUUGGGCGUAAAGGGCUCGCAGGCGGUUUCUUAAGUCUGAUGUGAAAGCCCCCGGCUCAACCGGGGAGGGUCAUUGGAAACUGGGAAACUUGAGUGCAGAAGAGGAGAGUGGAAUUCCACGUGUAGCGGUGAAAUGCGUAGAGAUGUGGAGGAACACCAGUGGCGAAGGCGACUCUCUGGUCUGUAACUGACGCUGAGGAGCGAAAGCGUGGGGAGCGAACAGGAUUAGAUACCCCCGUAGUCCCUGUCUCUUAUACA